rnacentral:rRNA from 1 species
ACGGAAGGCAGCAGUGGGGGAUAUUGCACAAUGGGGGAAACCCUGAUGCAGCGACGCCGCGUGAGUGAAGAAGUAUUUCGGUAUGUAAAGCUCUAUCAGCAGGAAAGAUAAUGACGGUACCUGACUAAGAAGCACCGGCUAAAUACGUGCCAGCAGCCGCGGUAAUACGUAUGGUGCAAGCGUUAUCCGGAUUUACUGGGUGUAAAGGGAGUGCAGACGGCAUGGCAAGCCAGAUGUGAAAGGCAGGGGCUCAACUCCUGGACUGCAUUUGGAACUGUCAAGCUAGAGUAUCGGAGAGGUAAGUGGAAUUCCUAGUGUAGCGGUGAAAUGCGUAGAUAUUAGGAGGAACACCAGUGGCGAAGGCGGCUUACUGGACGAUAACUGACGUUGAGGCUCGAAAGCGUGGGGAGCAAACAGGAUUAGAUACCCUGGUA